UUGUAGGGGCGCAAGGACAUU
rnacentral:siRNA from 1 species